UAAAAUAUUUCCCCCCACCUUUUCAAGUGUUGCGAGGAACUGAACUCAGCACACCUCCUUUCAUCGGGAUGGUGUUUGUUGUCGUUUGUCAUGUCAUAAACAUUGGUCUUGUAGUUUGCUGAAUCGAGAUAAUCGAUCCCAGUUUGCGCAUAUCUAUGCAUUGAUCCAUGUAAUAAACAAUAUUGGGUAUCGUGUUGAUUUCAGAUCAAUUGACGAUGGUACUCUUUGCAAAUGUUUUCAAACUAAGUUUUUCCUCUCAAUCACUCUUUUUUAUAACCAGGCAUGCACUUUGCGGCUACUUGUUUUACUGACAAUGCCGGAACUAUGAUACUUGUAAAGCUGCAUGUAUAAUGUCUGCUUGGUCAGCAACGUCCAUAUCCCAUUCUAAUUCGUUUCGGAAAGCACGGCGUUCACAGGUCUAACGCAGCAAGCACCGAACAUGUCAUUACGAUUACUGUAGAAGUGCAAAGACAUCUUGGCUCUGAUACAAUGUAGAAGUGCAUGCUCUAGCUAAUGCAACCAAAAGACCAAUCUGAUGAAAGAGACUAGGCAGCACAUUAUACGUCAACAGUUACAACACGACUUAACAUUAAAGGACCAGUACACAGACAGAGAAAAUUAAAAUUCGCGCUCAGCACGUAUCACUCCUAGCAAGCAAAUUAACAACGUUCCAUUCGUGCGUGCGUGCGUACGGACUCGGUUGAUCAGUUAGGGCACUGGAAGCCAGCCGGGAGCUUCCUGCCGCAGUGGUUGACGAGGAGGCCGAGCUGGAGGGGCAGGCCGACGUCGACGACGCCCAGCACGUUGGCCUUGAUGGCGGUGCAAAGGCAGACGGCGGCGUCCAGGUCGGCGAGGCCGUCGACGAGCUCGCAGCACGGCUUCUUCCCCGACGACGCCGUCGACCAGGAGCCUGCCAUCAGGUUCGUCAGCCCGUCGCCUAGGCCCAGCACGUCCGCGCACACCCCCAGCUUCAGCGCGUCCACCGGGCACUUACCUCCGCCGCUCCCGCUCCCGCUCCCGCCCGUCACCAUCGGUGCGCUCGGCGUUGGUUUGCUCUUGCUGGGGCAGGCCGCCUCUGUGGAGACGGCGAGGAGGAGGACGAGGCUCGCCGCUAGAGCCAGGGUGGACAUUGCAACCACCGUGCUGCUGGUUUUGCCCGUCGCCGCCAUGACUAUGCUGUGACAAAGGUUAGAGAGAUCGACGAGAGAAUGAGUACGGGUGCGUGCCGUAGCUGCCGUGCAUGUGGUGGUAUUUGUAGGGGAGCCAUCGGUCCGAAAGUUGCAAAUUUACUUGAGUCAGGUGUCCGAUUGGCUUUAUCGCGGCGGCAAUUACUGGAGCAACGUGCAAUCGUUACCGUAGCUUCGGUACAACAUGUAGGGAAUGUAAAUUCAUUGUGGUUUUUCUUGUCGGUGACGCAGUAACUAGGAAACAUGCCCGUGCGUUGCUACGGGGUGAAGGGGCAGUGGUUGAGAGAGGGUGGUGCACGGAGGACUUCCGCCAAGUGCAAUUUUUUUCGACUUUUUUUUAACACAGUACAGACGAAGCGCUCAUACAUAUGCACAUACACUCACCGCUGUGAACGCACACACGCACACCCUACCCCUAUGAGCACUUCCGAGAGACUGAGCCGGCAUAUCAUUUUGAUAUUUAUGAAGUCACCGUAGGUGCCUCCUCGUCGACGGGAACGUCUUCUCCCACUGAAAACACAUCGCCGGAAUUCCUGAAAUAAAUCCAGGAAUAAUGCGAGCAGCAGGACUUGAAUCCUGGUGGGCUGGGGAUGCCACUGUCCCUCUAACCAUCCAACCACAGGUUGGUUCGCCAAUUUUUCUCGACUUUGAAACAUAUUCUUCAAGAGUAGCUACUAACUCAACGGAUUUUUGAACUUAGAGCACACAUGAUGUUUUUCGCCUCACUUCAAUAAGACGCUGUAUUAGACCGUCAAUAUAUAGUGACAACAUGCAUCUCACCAGUAUUUUAACCAUCGUAGUGAUGAUAAAAAUCACGACGCUUUUUAAGUUUUUUAUUUUUUUAUUCAUUGGUCAUCCAUACAUACCGCUCUCUAUCUCUUUUCCUUCUUUGUUGUUUGCCAUCCAUGACUCGAGAUUGCCAUUCAAAUUGCUUGCAUGCAAGAAAGUUUUGUAUACUAUAUGAAUCUGCUGUUGAUUGAAAAACAAAUAUGAAAUUUGCAUAAAUAAAUAUGGCACAUGUAGCAAUUUAUAAAUAAAUCUAAUUAUGCUGGGCAUAAGCAUCAGAAUAUAUGUGUUGUUUGCUUGCUAGAGUAUCAUUGCUACACACACCAUGUUUUUCGUGUGACUUUUUUUUUUUGCAAAUAGUUUUUCGUGUGACUUCACUGCGACAUUGUAGAUUAGUUUGUCGAUGCCUAGUAAAAAUGUCGUGCAUGCACUGACAUGAGACAAUAAAAAUGUCGUAUAUGCAACACUUCCAAAGUAACUUUACAUGGAUGCAAUUGUUCUUAUUUUCCAUAACAUCAAUGUUUGGUCAAAAGGAUGUAUAAGGUGGUUGCCUCAUUCCUCCGUACCACCUUCAAUAUAACUAGGCAGAUUUAAAGAAGAAGAAUUAACUAGGAACCUUCAAUAUAACGUGUCACUGCAGAAGCGAUAGCCCUUUUAUUAGCAGGUAUAGAUAUAGAUUCAGGCGCUGCCUGCAGUGUGGUCACUUUGAUAGAGCUAUUGGUCAAAGUUUUUUUUUUAUAGAUGUUUUCGCAUGGCUCAGUUUGCUGUCUCACGCCAAAAAAAAGGAAAAAGAAGGUUUUUUUCUUUCUUUUUUUGAGGAAUCUCAGUUUGCUGUCUAUCCAGCGGAGUUGCAGAAAGGAGUCGCGGAGGAGACAAGACCACCAUGGGCUGGGCUGUUGUUGCAUCUCGAGUGGGCUUUCUGGAGACAAGAUCAUCCAAUAUAACGUUUCUUUGGGCUUUCUGGUGAACAUGUGCGGCCGCAGCAGCACUGCAGCAGAAGGGAAAGCAGCGGGUGGAGGUAGGCGUUUUUAGUCCCACCUCGCCUGGCUAGGCAGGAGGGAGUAGAGAGCUCGGCUACAUAAGAGGGCGGGGUACAACCUGGAAGAGGCACGCAGCUGCGUGGUGAGCACAAAGCGAACUAUUCUUUCGCCUUUUACUAAAGAAUACCGUGUGCAUGCCACACUAAGCAGCAUAUGCUAAUAUUUUGAGGGUGCUUUCUCAAAUUUCAAAAUAGUUGAUAUUGUUUAUGCUUAUAUACCCUUGUAAAUAAUAAUCCAAAUCUUAGAUCCUUUUGUUCAACGUUCAAAGUUCUGACUGCUCUGCUUGGAUUUUAGCAUAAUUGCAGGCUCAUCUUUGUAAUGGUUGGCCAACCUUUCGUCGUGAGAAAUUUAUGCUACUAUUUCGUCAGGGAUUAAAUUCAGCCAUCUAGCUGAAUAUCGCUAGCUAUGCCUUUCAGUUCUACGAUUACUUGUUUCAGGAUUUGUAUCUAGCCGCAGCCAACAGCUCUCUAAUGCAGUGUCUUCUACAGUACCAGCAAUUCAGGAUCCGUUCUUUCACUCCUUUCAGUAUCUGUUCUUCAAUAUGCUAGUGUCAGAUACACCAAAAAUCUUCUGUUAGCUGUGACUUCUAUAUGAAUUAUUGGUUUUAUCAACUAGCUGUUGGCUGCAGUGCAAAAUUUCCCUGGUGGACCAUAAUCCAUAAGUUUUUUCUUUUCCUUCUUCUCUCCAUGAAGUUGUUCUUGCCCAAAUAUGAAUCAUGUCUUCAGCAAACGUGCCAGCAGUGUCUUGCAUCUAGGUGACCUGCAUCAUAAUAUAAUUCUUGUGCUAGUUUGACUUGCAUUAUACUCCCUCCGUCCCAUAAUAUAAGAACGUUUUUGACACUAGUGUCCCAUAAUAUAAGAACGUUUUUGACACUACACUAGUGUAAAAAACGUUCUUAUAUUAUGGGACGGAGGGAGUAGUAUAACUCUUGGCUGUAGGUGACUUGCAUCAUACUAUUAUUCUUGAGCCUGUAGAUCAAUUCUAGUGCAGCUCUUCUGUAGCUUACUCUUGUGCCCUGGGCUAGACGCUUAGUAUUCCUGCAGCUCCUCUUGCAAUAGUUUGCCCUCCUAUUUUUUCGAAAUAAUAUGAUGGAAAAAUCACUAGUUUCUGUAGAACAGUAUCUGUAAUUUUAAUUUAUACUAUUGGAGACUAGUUUGUAGGUUAGUCUGGAAAGGUAAUAUCUGGAACUUCAAUUUAAACUAUCCGAUAGCAAAAACACUUCCUUCAUAGUGGAGCUUGAUGGAAGUAAUUUUUGCUCUGUUUAUAUCUAGAUGUUGUUGAGACAAAAAACAUGCAGGAAGAGCAGAACAUAUUUUUUGUGUAUUUACUACAAUAUCUGGAGAGCAUAUUAAUAGAGUUUCAGAAAACAUUGAACAUCUUGAAAGAAGCCACCAUUUUUCAAAUGGAGUGCCUAGAACUCAUUUAGGUGAGAUAUAAUUUGGUCUCAUUCACCUUGAAAACAAAAACAGAUACAACCCACGUCAGCACACACGCAUCUUAUAGCAUCACAUCCAAUGGCUAUAAAAGGUGAAUGAGACCAAACUAUAUCUCAUCUAAAUGAGUUCUAGCAAAACUGUUUUUCAAAAUCACUUCCAUCAUUCAAUGAGCUUAUCCUAGUAUGCUGCUGAGCUGGAUCUUAUUAACUCUGCAAAAACAUUUAUUAAAUUGACAGCUGCGUCCCCCCCUCCCCGCGUCGUCCGCUCUCGGGCGACUCGGGGGCGAAACCCUAGGCGCCGCCGGUUCCCCGCCUCCCCUUCUCCCCCCCUCUGCCGCCACCGGCAGCCGUCGUCGGGCUUGCACGCGCGGCGGUAGGCGGCGGCGGUUGCUUCCCCGCGCACCCGCCUCGACCUCUGGAGAGCCCCCACCCCGCAUCGGGCUCCGCCGCCCGCUUCCCCUGCUCCCCUGGUGGCCGUCGAGGCCGGCCCUCUGUGGUGGCUGUAGCCGCUGGCGUUGUCGCCCUGCGCCUGGUCGCCUGGGACGGCUCCGCCCGUCAGAUCGCCGCCUCGGCCCUGGGAUCGGGGCCAGCUACUCCGAUCUAGCGGCUGGUGGGCCGGGGUUCGCCGGAUCCGCCCGGAUCUGGCUGGCGUGGCCUUGCCUCGUCCUGCCCGGCUUGGGUUUUCGCGGUGUGGUGCUCCCUGGUGGCGGCGGUGUGGGUCUUUCUCCAUGUUUCGACGGGAUGUGUGCGGUGGGUGGAUGCCGGGGCGGCGGUCUCGGGCGGUGUGGACGGCGUUGCCUCUUCGGUGGGCGACGGCCGUGGAUGCUGGUGAUCUGCGACUUCGGCCGUGCGGGCGGCGAGGUCUCGGUGGACGUCACCUAGCGUGCCUGCUUCGAUGAAGUCCAACGCCUUCUCCGACUGCGUGCGCUCCCCUGGCCAGGUCUUUGGCCGGGUGGAUGGGAUGGGGGCGGGACCGGGGGAAUCCCUUGGCCGUCGGCGGAGGCCACGACAAUGGUGGCGCCUUUGCUGGGCGUCGGUCCCCUUCCUGGAGGCCUUGUCGAGGUCCUCGUUCGUCUUUCACUAUGCUCUUCCUUUGGACAAAAGCUCUAGUUCCCCUUGCAGGCGACGGCGUCGUACCCUCAUCGCGCUCCUUCUUCUAGGCGUCACCCGGGGUUUCCGGAAGCAUGGUGGGCACUUUGCGGUGCGUGUGAGGUGUUUGGCGGCGACAAUGUGUGCGGCGUUUCAUCUAUUCUCCGCCGGUCUUCGUCUUGUGGUAGCGCUCCUUCUGCUUGGAGAUGGACUAGCGUAGAUUGUGGUCGUCGUUUGGCGUCAUGGUGGCAUCGAUGGCGGAGGAACCUGCCAUGGUUGGCACCUCAAUCUGCUCUGAAGAUGGACCAGUGGGAGAUGGCGGCGACGACACAUGUGAGUGCGUCGGACCGGAUUGUGCCCCGGACCCGGUAUGUGGCUCGGUCGGGGCCUCCGACUUUUGAUGUUAGGCUUAGGUGAGAGGUCUGGGUAUUUGGCCCAGCUUGCAUCCCUUCAUCAUAUGGAUAGGAGUAGCGGCAGAUGUUGCCAAAAUGGCGGAUUCAGUCAUAUUGUUGUACUACUUUGUAAGGUUCUUGAGAAUAAUAAAUAAAAUGACCGCAUGCAUCUCCCAGAUGCAGAGGCCGGGGGUCAGCCUCAUUUUCUAAAAAAAAUCAGCCACAAAUUUAGCGCAACCAAUAAUCGGUAGACACGAGCUUUACACGCACUAGAAGGAACGCUCGUGUGUUGCAACGGGACCACAUUAACUUUAAGUGGCAUUGGCGACCUUUUUUACCAUCAAAUCCUCACACACACACACUCUCUCCCUCUUCCUCACACUCUCUCCCCCUCUCCCUCUCUCUCUCUAACACACACACAUAUCCAUCUUAUUAGGUACGAUACCAUAAUCCAUCUAUUUCACACACACACGCUAGUGCAUAACAAUAUGGAUUAUGUGUAUUGUAUUUGCCACCACAACUGAGAGAAUUAAUUUCAUGUAAAUCGGCCAGCCACAGCUCCAAGAAUACGCGGAGGAGGUGGCCCGGGUCGGCGUCGGCGCCGUCCAGCGCGGGCCACGGGCCCGCUUCUAAGUGCGUCUGAGCGCCGGCCACCCACGCCGGGUCCUUCAAGUGCCGCUUUCACUGCACCAACUCCCAGGGCCACGGCCACAGCCAAGGCCAGGGAAGCCGCCCUUCUUCGCCCCCUUCACUGGCCGCGGCCAAUGCGGUGCCGCGGCACCCGGCCUCGCCGUCCUCGUCCUCCGACACUGUCGUGACCCAGUGACGCAGCCCAAGCAUCGGCCUUGAGAAUCAAGAACGCUCGACAAUGGAGAGGGAAGGGAAGAUCAUAUACAUGUCAUAAGAAAUGGAGUUUAUUUACUGCUCCCUCGAUGUAUUGUUUCCUUUGUUUGGAGAUUGAUUACCAUCCAUGAGUUAAGGUAAGGUUAAUGUGAUUGAGUGAUUUUUCUGAAAAUUAAUUAUUUGUUUUCUUAUUAAUGUGAUUGAGUGAUUUAAGGUAAGGUUAAUUAAUUUAGAUUUGAUCUUUAGAGAUUGUUCGUGAUUGAUUCUACAUUACUAAAUAACUUGCGUCAGUAUGGAAAGUUCUGAUCUGUUCAGAUUUCUUUCGUCGUGUGAGAGGGUGACGCAAAAAUAAACCGAUGAAGUGGGGGAGGGGACGAAAAAAUCUACGAAAAAACCCAGCGAAGAUGGGAGGAGGUACCAAAAAAACCAUAAAAGGUGGGACGAAAAAAAACUUGAAAGCGAGACUACCAACUGCUUUAUUAGAAGUAGAGAUUAGUACAUGCACAAGCGACAACCUUAAAGAACCAUGUACUGCAGGCAAUUUUCCUUUUUCAAGACAAUAAGCAUGAGGACUUUAAGGUCAAGUGUCUUGCACAGAAAGUUUUUCCAUAUCACAAGCUUCAUGGACGUACGUGAGAGGAUUGGAUAAUCUAUGGCGGAUCCUCCGGACACAGUAUUUGAUUUGGUUGCAACAAUCUUUGCCGCUUCUGCUGGGGACUCCUGGUGUCAUGGUUUGAGUUUGACGGGCGCAGCUGCAAAACCAACUUAUAGGUCAUCUUACUACACAAAGAGGGCAACAAGAACACCAGAAACAGGGCAUCAGGCCAUCAGGGUGGGACUAUAUACCUCAUGAGUAGCACUACCAGCACAAUGAGCAUUUCUUGCACCAUCCUCAACUUCAUCUGAUGCACAUGGAGCACAAAACAAUAAGAUUCAUGAUUAUUGAAUUCAUGCUUCAGCCAAUUCAUUCAAAAGUCCGAACUGAUGGAGAGAGGCGGACAAUAUAUUUCAACACUCCCCCUCACGUCUAGGCCAGUUUAAUCCUUAGACGUGGGAUCGAUGUAGGCCGCAGAAUCGUUUUUAUUUAAUGCUGCGUUGGCAGGGUCUUGAACUCAAGACCUCUUGGCUCGGGUACUAUAUUGAAUUCAUGCUCCAGCCAAUUCAUCCAAAAAUCCGAACUGACGGAGAGAGGCGGGCAAUAUAUUUCAACAAUGAUCACCCACUAAUCACUAUAGAAAUACUCAAAUGCACGAUGAUUUCACAACCAAAUUACCAGUUUGAAUUUAGGCCCCAAUCAGCACAAUCUAACAACGAAUUGAUCAUCCCGAUUCAAAGCGAAUACCUAAAGUAAGAUGUCCUUUUACCUAAUCACACCUCAACCAAUUCCAGGUUCUUCAACAAAAAGCAAACGUUUCUGAGGAUUCAAGUCUUCAACUAUCAUUUACUCUCAGAAGCCAUAAGUGAAGAAAAUGGCCCAAAUCCGUACAGAUGAUAAGACUGACCGAUCUAACAUGAACAAUAGACGAUGUGACCAAUCUAACAUGGGCUACACGAAACAAGAACCGUACGGACUGAAAUAAAACGUGCUUGAACACACCUAUGGAUACAGCAACAUAUUUCUAAAAAGGACACAAGGAAAAACACUGAGCUGCACAGUUACCUGAAUCGCCAUUCAUCAGAUAUUUGUGCAGCGCACAGCGAAUGUAGGUUGGAUGGAAAUCCAAGGAUCUAUGUGCAUCAAGUGGCAUCAGCUCUCGCACUGCCUUGUUCCUCAUGUCAACGGUGACAACCCAUUUAGUUCCGUCCCAGCCAUCCCCCUUUGACAUGAGGCAAACAACAUCAUCAGUACACAUGAUGGGAUAGGUCGUUUUUAGGUCCUUCAAUGGCAGGUCCGCAGCGCCGCCGCAACCAGGCAAAGAGACAGUUCCAAGGUCAUCAUCAACAUGAAGCAUGCUCCCCUUGCGCCAAUAGUCCCAAGAGAUGUGCCUGUACCAUGUAAUGAGUCUCCAACCAGCGGACUCGUAUUCCUCCUCCUCCUUCCUUGGAUCCUUGGCCAAUUCAGAGUCACAGAGCACGUCCUUUGCCGAGUGUUGACGCUCAAAAAUGGCACAGUCAUAAAAUUAGCAUAGGCUGCAUCAAGACUAAUUCAAACUUAUGAUUGGAGGUCACCUCUGAAUGGCUCUCUUUAAGAAGAUCGAGAUGGAUAUGAAGAUGGUUUAAAACGGAGCUCGGAAACAAUAGUUGUGACAAGUUCAGAGAUGCUCAUGUUGACACCAGAUUAAAGAAUGACAUGAAACUCAAUUAAGAUGGCCUCUAAUCGAAAAGGUUUCAACACUAAAGUUGUGCGUCUCGUUGAAACGGUUGAUUUUGAUAUAAAAAUCGUCCUAAUCCGAGGUCGUAUGCAACCUAUGGAGACAAAACAAGGUCAGAAACAAAAGUUGCAGAGUCAUUUCGGACCGACCGAGUUGAUUUGAUCGGUGAGACCGAGUUGGUCCGAAAAUUUACCAGAGAGUUGGCAAUGUUCAUUCGGUAGGACUGAAGCAAACCAAUCGGUGAGAUUGAGUUGAUCCGAGAAAUUACAGAAGGAUACAGAGAGUUGGCAACGUUCACUCGGUGGGACCGAAACGAACCAAUCGGUGGGACCGAGUUGAUCCGGAAAAUUACCAAAGAUUCCUGUCCGAGUUAGGUUAGGCUUUUUGAUGUUUUGGACAGAAAUUUUAGUCCUUUUCUUGUACGGGAAGUCCAGCCGCCUCAUAAAUAGAUGAGAGGUGAUGGCCGAUUGAACAACACACAAUCGAUCAAAUCAUCUACCACUUUUUAUCUUUUAUCUUUUCUCCUUAACCCUAGUUCUUCCUCUUCCUCGUUCUUCGUCUGUUCUUCUUGUUGCAGGGCGGCGAACCUCGAGGCCCUAGGGGCGAUCUGGUCGACCUAGGGCAGCCCAUAGCCGCCGCGCGUCCAGACGGGGUCCCUCCCGGGCAUGUGGGGUUUCGGGUCCUCAAAAGCACCCGCUGGAUUGCUUGCGUACCGCGCUUCUGGCCGGGUCUCCUUCGACGUGAGCUGCGGUGCAUCACCCCCGGCGUCGAGGGUACACGGUGACGUGUUCGUGUGCGAACACACUUUUUGGCGACUCCGCUGGGGACUAAAAAUCAAUCAAUCAUCAUCCACCAUGUCCGAUCUUCCCAAGCCAUCUGAGGUAGACGCCGAUAACAUCAUUAAGUCCAGUCUUGAUGAGAUAUCAGCCGAUCAUCGCCAAAUCUAUGAGGAGUACAAGAAGGUGCGCGAAGAGAAGGAUUUGCAGGAGUUCCUUGCAAAAUUAAAGAAGGCUCGCCAAGGCAACAUCACUCCGAUUGAAGAAAUCAAGUUCCCUCCUCUUCAAACCGAGCAGGUUAAACCCUCUGUGAGUACUACCUUUUCUCCUGAGCAGUGGGCUGAGAUUGAGAGUCGUAUUGCUGAUGGUAACAAUCUGGUCUAUCAAACUUUCAUAGAAAAUACUAAUGCUCAGAAAAAUAUAUCUCAAUCAUCUAAUGGUAAUGGUGGUAUAGCUGCUAGCGUGCAAAACCCUAAUCUGGCUUUACCUAUUUCAUCGGUGCCUCCCAUGCCGAUGACUUAUUACCCUACCGAAGCAAAUCAAAUUGUUGCUGCACCCAUUAAUCCUAUCAUGAGUAUGCCAAGUUCGGUGGUGACGCCGAACCAAGCCCUACCCAUAGGUGCAAACGCUGUUAGAUCACUGCCGAAUUACAAUUCGGCAUACAUGCCACAAUUCACACCUGCAGCUACUAACCCUACUCCUCCUAUGCCACUGCCACAAGCUUCAUCGUCCACUGUGGAUGAUGGUCUAGCUAAUCUUAGAGAGGAGAUGUCUAAGAUGCUCCGAGAGAAUUUUGGAGUUGAGUUACCAAGGAACCGUAUUUACCAAAAGCCAUAUCCAGAAUACUUUGAUGCAAUUCAAUGCCCUCCGGGAUAUAAAAUUACAGAUUUUGUUAAGUUUAAUGGAGAGGGCACAAAAACCACAUGGGAUCAUGUUAGUCAGUACUUGACACAAUUAGGUGAGGCAAGUUCACAAGACGAGUGGAGAGUACGUUAUUUUCCUUUAUCUUUAACCGGUACCGCUUUCUCGUGGUUUUCCGCGUUACCACCCGGUUCUGUUACUACAUGGUUUCACUUGGAAAAAAAGUUUCAUGAUCAUUUUUAUAGUGGCGAUAAUGAGCUUAAGUUGUCACAUCUUACAUCGGUUAGACAAAAGCAUGAUGAAUCGGUCUCCGAUUACGUCAAGAGAUUUAGAGAUACAAAAAACCGGUGCUAUAGUUUGGUGAUAACCGAGAGAGAUUUGGCUGAUCUUAUGCUUAAUGGUUUGAGAACUCACAUUAGAGAAAGGCUAGAAGGACAUGAGUUUUUAAAUAUCAACCAAGUCUUGCAAAGGGCUUUGGCUCAAGAAAGCCGAAGCAAAGAUCUUAAAGAGGUGCAUAGAUAUAAAACUGAUCGUCCUAAGAUGAAUAUGGUUGAGUAUGAUAGUGACCACUCGGACGAUGAGGGUGAUAUUUAUGCUGCUGAAUUUGUUUGGCCAUCUAAGGCCAAACCAUUUACUUGCAAUGAUUUAAAGCCAAUUCAUAAGAAUCGUGAUGAAGAGAUGAAAUUUACUUUCAACAUUGCUAAGUGUGAUAGAAUAUUUGAUGCUUUAUUGCAAGUGAAGAUUAUUAGAAUAUCUCAUACUUUACCGCCGUUUGAAGACCUGAAACGGCGUGCUUAUUGCAAGUAUCAUAAUUCUUUUUCUCAUGCUACUAAUGAUUGUAAUGUUUUUCGACGACAGAUACAAUCGGCCAUUAAUGACAGACGAUUGAAUUUUUCUGAGAUGCAAGUUGAUAAGCAGCCUUUUCCAAUGAACACCAUGGAUUUGGAGGGGAAGAAGAUGUUAAUUCGGCCCAGCAUAGCCGAAUCAGCUAAUAAAAAUAAUAUUGUCAUUGGUGAGCCCAGGAAAAAUAAGGAGAGCGACAAGGUCUUGGGGAGACAAGUUGUGCUUGACAAGCAACCCGAUGACAAGGAGGUAAUCAAGAUCACCAUCAAGAAUCCUACACUCGGGGGGCAACCACAAGUGCAAGAGAACACUCAUGUAAAAUUUGUUAAGCCCAAGAGUCCAGAGGUUGGCAAGUGGAAGAUGAAUGAAGCUAAAGUGCAGCGCAAGAAAAUCAAGCCAACUUUUGAUAUGUUGUUGUCCAAGUAUGCCAAUCAAGCGGCCGGUUCUAGCUCUAACCGGUCAAAUUUGAAGCGCUCAAGGUCACCUCCUCGGGAAGAAUUUCAGCAUCAUGCAAGGCCAUAUGGGUCAUGGGCACCGGGACCAUGGAUGGCGCCACCGCCCUAUGCGCCAUACUACAUGGGAGACUUCAAUGGAGGAUGGGGGCAGUCCCCAAUGGCCCCUUAUGCUUUUCAUCCGGGUUGGGAAGAACCAAGGAGGCCCAUUCAUGAGAGGCUUUCUUAUCCCACACGAGGCCGUUUGAACAAUGGUGUCAAUCGGCCAAUGCAAGAUAAUCAAAAAAAGGGUCAGUAGGCAAGUGUGGCGUGCCAAAUCACCAAGUGUUGAAAUUUCAGAGCCUAGCAAGCAAAAUGAGAAGAGUACUAGUGGUGAAACUAUUCUGAUAGGCACUAAAGAAUUAAUAAUCAAAGAGCCAAUUAUUGUUGAUAAUCCGGCUGAUUCUAAUAAAGAUGUGGCUGCGGUCCAGCAAGGCCCCAUGGCUAAUGAUCAUGAAGCUAGCACAAGCAAGGCCAAGUCGAGGGAUCCAAAAUAUACUCAGCCUAAGUGGUGUCCUUCCGGUCUGACCAAGGCACAAAAAAGGAGAUUGCAGUGCAUGAGGAGUCAUGAGAAGGAGGAACAAGAAGCAGAAAAGCUAAGGGAUAAAUUAUUCAAUGAAAGCCGUCCCAUGGUAACCCCCAAAAAAGUGUGGAGGCCAAAGCAAAAGGAAAACAUAGCAGCUUCUGCAUUGAUCAUAGCAACACCUACACCACCAACGGAGGACGAUGCGGCUACUAUUACAUCGUCCACUUUGCCUACUACUUCCUCUUCCCUUGGAGAUAUUUCGGAGUCAGUGGACAUGCUUGCGGAAGGAGAUGAAAUGCUUGAUUAUGAGUCUACACCGGUUCAUGAAGGUAUGGCUAUUAAUAUGGUGUAUUACUUACCCGCUGAAUUUCGUGCUAUAGAUGAUGAAGGGGAAGUAGCUCAACUAGAUUUUGGUCCUAAAAAUGCUAUAUUCGAGAAGCCAAAAGAACCGGUGACGCACUUGAAGCCAUUGUUCCUUAAAGGUCAUAUUAAUGGAUCGUCGGUUGCUAGAAUGCUUGUCGAUGGUGGUGUUGUGGUGAAUCUUAUGCCAUAUUCGGUCUUCAAAAAAUUGGGGUUGCGUGAUGAACAAUUAAUAAAGACAAACAUGGUGCUUAAUGGAUUUGAAGGCAAAGAGAAAACUGAAGCCAAAGGUGUAAUGUAUGUGGAGCUUACGGUGGGAAGCAAAACUUUGGCUACCGCAUUCUUUGUCGCCGAGGUGCAAGGUAACUACAAUGUGAUAUUAGGCCGCGAUUGGGUUCAUGCAAACCAAUGUGUGCCAUCUACUAUGCACCAGUUUUUAAUUCAAUGGGUUGAUGAUGAAGUAGAAGCCAUUCAUGCGGAUAAUUCGGCUUGUGUUGCUUUGGCCGAUGCAUCGGUGGAUUGGCAACAUCCCAAUGCUACUUGCUUGACGGGGCGCGACUUGUCAGAAUUUGAUUUUCUUAGCACCACAAAAAGUGGUUUUGUGCCUGUUUCUUUAAAGCCGGUUGGCGAUAAUCGACUCCAAGGUAUGAUGUAUUUAAAUGGAUCCUAACUCAGAGUGGUUACAAAAGCGUCUUGUAGAAUAUUGGUCCAAUGAGAACGAUAUGUAUGAGUCCAUAGAAGAGUUAGAUGAUAUGGAUAAAUUAGGACAAGGUUUUACAUCGGUCGAUCCAUUAGAAGAGAUAGAUAUAGGAGAUGGUUCAAUUCCUAGGCCGACAUUUGUAAACAAAAAUUUAAGAGCCGAUCAUAAAGCUAAGUUGAUCGAGCUAUUGAAAGAAUAUGUUUGUUGCUUUGCAUGGGAAUAUCAUCAGAUGCCAGGUUUAAGCCGAGAGCUAGUGGAGCACCGUUUACCUAUAAAGGCUGGUUUUAGACCAUACAAGCAAUCGGCCAGAAAGUUUAAUUAAAAAACGUAUGACCGGAUCAAGGAAGAAAUCGGUCGUUUGCUUAAAGCUAAUUUUAUUAGACCUUGCAGGUAUGCCGAGUGGAUAUCUAACAUUGUACCAGUAGAGAAGAAAGGCUCCGGCAAGUUGAGGGUUUGCAUUGAUUUCAGAGAUUUGAAUAGAGCUACACCUAAAGAUGAGUAUCCUAUGCCAAUAGCCGAUAUGCUUAUUAAUGAUGCUUCUGGACAUAAGGUCAUUAGCUUUCUUGAUGGUAAUGCGGGGUAUAACCAGAUUUUUAUGGCCGAAGAGGACUUGUCCAAGACGGCUUUUCGGUGUCCUGGUUUCCUUGGUUUAUUUGAGUGGACAGUGAUGACCUUUGGAUUAAAAAAUGCCGGUGCCACGUAUCAAAGGGCUAUGAAUUUAAUUUUUCAUGAUUUGCUUGGUGUUAUACUUGAGGUUUAUAUUGAUGAUAUUGUUGUCAAAUCGGAUGCUUUUGAAUCUCAUCUAGCCGAUUUGCGCUUAGCUUUUGAGAGAAUGAAAAAAUAUGGACUAAAGAUGAAUCCUUUAAAGUGUGCUUUUGGUGUAUCGGUUGGAAAGUUUUUGGGUUUCAUUAUUCAUCAAGAUGGCAUAGAGAUUGAUCCCAAAAAGAUACAAGCUAUACAAAAGUUGGAGGCUCCAACUUGCAAGAGAGAUAUGCAAAAUUUCCUUGGCAAAGUCAAUUAUUUAAGGAGAUUCAUAGCCAACUUGUCAGGGAAGGUUGAUGCAUUCACUCCCAUCCUUCGGUUAAAGGACGAUGCCAAUUUUACUUGGGGGGCAAAACAACAAGAAGCAUUUGAUAUGAUAAAAAGUUAUUUGUGCACUCCUCCGGUGUUGAAAGCUCCCAAACAUGGAGAGCCCUAUAAGCUUUAUAUUGCGGCGGAGGAAGGUGUUAUUGGUGUUGUUUUGACUCAAGAGACAGAAGGAAAGGAGCAUGCUAUUACUUAUUUGAGCCGACGCUUAUUGGAUGCCGAGACAAGGUAUACAUUUAUUGAGAAAUUAUGUUUAUGCUUAUAUUAUGCUUGUACAAAAUUGAGACAUUAUCUAGUGCCUAGUACUUGCAUUAUAGCUUGUCAAACCGAUGUCAUCAAGUACAUGUUGCAUAGGCCAAUUCUUAGUGGUAGGAUUGGCAAGUGGGCUUAUGCUUUAAUUGAAUAUGAUUUGGCUUAUGAAUCUCUGAAAUCCAUGAAAGGCCAAAUCGUUCCUAAUUUUAUUGUUGAGCAUCGGAUUGAUGACAAGCAUGAUAUUGAUAUAAACCUUGUCUCGUCAGUACCAUGGAGAUUAUAUUUUGAUGGUUCAGUUUGUAGCAAUGGCCAAGGUGUUGGUAUUGUUUAUAUAUCUCCUCAUGGUGCUGUUUUUGAAGCCUCAUGCCGCUUAGAAUAUUUUUGCACAAAUAAUCAAGCUGAAUAUGAAGCAUUGUUAUUCAGUUUAGAAAUGUUGCUUGCCAUAGGUGCUACACAUAUUGAGGCUUUUGGUGAUUCGCUAUUAGUAGUGCAACAAAUAUCCAAAGUAUUUCAAUGUUUUGACGAAUCACUUAAUGUUUAUCUUGAUAAAUGUCUAGAUACAAUUUCUACUUUGGAUUAUUUUAGCAUUGCUCAUAUAUCUAGACAUGACAAUUGGAGAGCAAAUGAGUUGGCACAACAAGCAUCCGGCUAUCAUGUUGAUCAUGGCAUGUUUCAUAUUUCUCAAAGGCCGAUGUCUAGUCUUGCCAACAUAGGGGAGGUCGAGCCGGAGCCCACCGUUUCGGCCACUAAUGAAGUAUUUAAUGCAGGAGAAAAUCAAGACUGGAGGAAACCCAUAAUUGACUAUUUGUGUGAUCCUAGUAAGAGGGUGAACAGGACUGUUCGGCGUAUGGCUUUCAAAUACACAAUGAGAGAUGAUGGUCUCUAUCGCCGAACGGUUGAUGAUGUUCUUUUAAAGUGCUUGGAUGAGGACCAAGCAAGAGUUGCUAUGGGAGAGGUCCAUGAAGGUAUUUGUGGCACUCAUCAGUCGGCUCCCAGGAUGAAAUGGUUAUUACGACGUGCUGGGUUUUAUUGGCCGACAAUGGUUAAUGAUUACUUCCGGUAUUAUAAAGGAUGUGAAGCCUGUCAAAAGUUUGGUGAUAUUCAGUUGGCUCCCGCUACUAUGUUACAUCCUAUUAUCAAGCCGUGGCCUUUUAAAGGUUGGGGAUUAGACUUUAUUGGAGAGAUUCAUCCUUCUUCUUCAAAGGGGCAUCGGUUCGUGUUGGUGGCGACUGAUUAUUUCACUAAAUGGUCUGAAGCAAUACCACUCAAAAAUAUGACUCAUACAAAGGUAAUUCGAUUCAUAACUGAGCGCAUUAUUCAUAGAUUCGGCAUUCCUCAAACAUUAACUACAGAACAAGGUUCAUCCUUUAUGUCACAUCAAGUUAGAUAAUUUUCCGAAUCAUAUAAGAUAAAGUUGCUCAAUUCCUCUCCAUAUUAUGCCCAAGCCAAUGGACAAGCUGAGUCUAGCAAUAAAAUAUUAAUCAAGCUCAUCAAGAAGAAGAUUGAGGAUAAUCCAAGGAGAUGGCAUGAGCAACUGUCCGAAGCUUUGUGGGCGCACAGAAUCUCAAGACAUGGUGCUACAAAGGUAACUCCAUAUGAGCUCGUAUAUGGUCAAGAGGCCAUUUUACCAGUGGAAGUGAAUUUGAAUGCUUUGAGAAUAGCCAAACAAAAUGAUUUAUCGGCGGUGGACUUUUAUAACUUGAUGAUGGACAAUAUUGAUGAAGUCGUCGAUAAACGUUUGGCUGCUUUGAAGGCCAUAGAGAGAGAUAAGUUGAGGGUGACAAGAGCUUACAAUAAAAAGGUCAAGUUGAAGACUUUUCAAGUUGGCAAAACUAUAUAACUCAAAAUAUAUAAGUGAAGCACAAAGAGUAUUCUAAUAAUUUCCAAAUCAUGUAUGGCUCUCUCAAAAGGUGUGUACAACAAGGAUGAUUGUGGUAAACUAAAAAUCAAAGACUCAAAUCAUACAAGACGCUCCAAGUAAAACACAUAUCAUGUGGUGAAUAAAAAUAUAGCUCCAAGUAAAGUUACCAAUGGAAGUAGACGAAAGAGGUGAUGCCUUCCGGGGCAUCCCCAAGCUUUGGCUUUUUGGUAUCCUUAGAUUAUCUUGGGGGUGCCAUGGGCAUCCCCAAGCUUAGGCUCUUGCCACUCCUUGUUCCAUAAUCCAUCAAAAUCUUUCACCCAAAACUUGAAAACUUCACAACACAAAACUUAACAGAAAAUCUCGUGAGCUCCGUUAGCGAAAAAACAAAAGACCACUUCAAGGUACUGUAAUGAACUUAUUCUUUAU
rnacentral:lncRNA from 1 species